rnacentral:lncRNA from 1 species
CCGCGGUUGUGGGUGUCCCGCGGCGCCGGAAACUGGGCGCACACACCCUCGGAUUGACGUGCGCACGCGCACCGGUUACCUUCAGGAGCGCCGAAGAAGGAAAGAAGAACACAGAGCCCGAGGCAAAGCUUAAGUGCUUACGCUUUUGUCGGGAGGUACAGACCCAGCUCUGCGAGAGCCAGGGGAAAAGGAAGAGAGGCAGGGAAGGAAUGGCAGCAAGUACAAGGUGAUGAAUGACUGCACUGGCCAUUGCUUCAUGAAGAGCCACGAAAAAACAGAGCCGGUUUCUCAGCAGGUGGCUGGCUGCUCAGUCACAAAGGACCUCUUUGGACAGGCUUUAUGGAAAUACUGUGCCUAGGACAGUCGCUCAAAGGCAGGAGGGAGAGAAAAUGCAUCUGCAAGCUCACUUUGUCUUCUUUCUUCUGCUGGUCAAAAUUUGCUGGCUGGGGCAGUUAACGCCCUCACACAUCCGAGUUGUGUCACCUGGCCCCUUUGGUAGCCACUGGGGAAGCCAGAUCUAGGCAUGUGGCCUGAUGGCUCCUGCGGUGGAACCACAUGCUCACACUCAGUCAGUCACCACUGGGAUGCCCUGGGCAGGGCAGGCUGAGUGGCUGGGAGAUAGCUGAGCCUAAGAUAUCUAAGCAAGCACCUGUGAUGUAUGCACUGCAGUGUCCAAAUGUGAAAAAGCAAGAAAGGGAGAUAGAAGCAUAUUUUUUUCUGGAGAGAAGGAGGAAACCACCAGGAGAAUACAAACAGAAAAAAGACUGCCAGCUCCGUGACAGCAAGAACCUUGUAUGACUUUUUCAUGAUGGAUGUUCAUCUGUGCCAUCUGUAAAUAUUGAAUAAAUAUUUGUGGAAUACAUGAAUCUAAAAGUGAAUGGAAUGAUAAAGAGGUAAGAUAUCAGGUGAGGGAGUAAGAUUUUACAGUACGGUGACUUUACUAGAAUGCAAACUCUAUGAGGGCUGGACCUUGAUGAGUAUUGGUUGCUUCAUCUGUACAAUAAAGAGGCUUGAUUUGGUGAACUCUGAAAUCAUUUUGGUUAUAAACCUCAAUGACUCUGAUUCUGAACUGUCACAGAAAGAUAUGAGCCCAGAAUAAAAUAUCUAGAACAUAUAUAUUUAACUCAAUUUUUGUGACUUCAGUUCAGAAUUUAAUUAAUUUUAGUUGGGAAUUUAGCAAACCCACGUGAUCAUUUAGUGUCUUUAUUCUUAUAUUUUGACAGGGAAAGGGUCAUGACAUCUACUACAGCAUUUGGCACAGACCCAGGUUUCCCUGGUACUGGUAAUUCCCAGCAGCUUUCUACAAUUCCAAAGCUGUCUGCAGUACUAUCAAGAGAUGACAUGGACUUCAAGGAUCAAACAGGGGAGAAAAAGGCUUAAAAGAAAAACAAGUCUCCAUCAAAGGUAAUAACCACAAUGAGAACUAUACAUAGCUAUGUGCUUAUAGGUCUUAGUUCACAUUCCCCUCAUUAAAAUUAUAGCUCAAGAAAUAAAGGGCUGUUUAAUGACUUGGGUAUAUAAAUAUACUUCAUUUGUAUAUUUUUUACUUGCUAAAAUCUAUCCAAAUUGGUAUUACCUCAAACCAUAAUCUUCUACUGUAUUUUAUAAUUUUACUUUAUUGCCAUGUAUUUUUCCCACUGAUGUUCACAAAUUCACAGGAAACAUCAGCCAUGUACUAAAUAAAAUAUGAAUUGAAUCGACAAAUAGAACUAUAAAUUUAAUUCAAGCACAUGUAAAAUUUAGACCAAAGAAUAAAAAUGUCUAUUAAAAAUACAGCCAAGCAUGGUGGCUCACACCUGUAAUCCCAGCACUUUGGGAGGCCGAGGUGGGUGAAUCAUCUGAGGUCAAGAGUUUGAGACCAGCUGGCCAUUGUGGUGAAACCCCAUCUCUACUAAAAUACAAAAAUUAGCUGGGUGUGAUGGUGGGCACCUGUAAUCCCACUACUUGGGAGGCUGAGGCAGGAGAAUCGCUUGAACCCAGGA